ACAGGACAUAAGACCCUUCACCCCCUCUUCAACCCCUUCAGCUGCCAUCUUUGCCACUUGUGGCAAUAUACUCUGUACAUUUCUCUUUAUGAAAGCCACCUCCUCUUGCUCCUCCUCAGCCUAUGGCAUAAGGCACUCUUCAGCUUGCUGUGAUUCCUCCUCAUCUUUUGGCUUUUCCUGCUCUCUGGCUCCUCAUGUUGUGUUUGUGCUUCAUAAUUUGGCUUUUCUUGUUUGCCCGAUUUUGCUUCACCCCCCAGGCUCAGCUUUGUCUUCGGCCUUCUUUCUUCUAUGUAAUUUUCUAUGUCAGCCCCCACCCCCAUGCUGCUUUCUUUUCAGAUACACAUAGGUUUUCGAAGAGCUGGGUCCUUGGUUCAACGUAAACACCCUCUAGCCACUAGCCUGUCACUAACAUGCUCAAAAAAAUGUAAUACAAUAGGAUAAAGUUACUGGAAGGUCAUACCUUGCCACAGUUAUUUUUGUAAAAAAAAAAAAAAAAA
rnacentral:lncRNA from 1 species